rnacentral:sRNA from 1 species
UGGCAAGAGAUCCCCUCUCGAGGAGACUCCGCAGAAACACCAGAGAUGAAAGUGGCACACAACAACCGAAGGCAGAGGAACAGGCUGAGGAUAAAGGUGUGUAUUCUGGGAGCACUCCUUUCUACGGAAAGACCUUCAGUGUUGCAAAAGGUGGCACUUACUAGUCUGCUUUUGCUGGAGAGACACUUUGGUUUGAGCUUCCUGACAGAAAUGAGAUUUGGACAGUUUGGUAUGAAAAACACUGAGUCCAGUAAAGAACUGUGACCACCCACUUGAGUCCGGGGAGGCGGGAUUGUCAUUUAGGUGGAAUAGUGUGGUGUGCAUCAGGGUGGGGAGGUACGGAGGAGAGAGUCGUGUGGAGUGAUUGGGAGUGUCUUUGGGAGUUGUGUGGGCAUUUCCCCAGAAAGCAUGUU